GAUGAAGAACGUAGUGAAAUGCGAUAAGUAAUGUGAAUUGCAGAAUUCAGUGAAUCAUCGAAUCUUUGAACGCAUCUUGCGCUCCUUGGUAUUCUGAGGAGCAUGCCUGUUUGAGUGUCAUUAAAUUCUCAACUACACUGACUUUGAAUUGGUGUGGCUUGGAUUUGGGGGGAAAAUUGUUGUGGGCUUUUUGUAUAGUCUGCUCCCCUGAAAUUAAUUAGCGGUACCUUUGUGGAACUGUCUACAGGUGUGAUAAUUAUCUACAUCUUAGACAUCUGCUGGAAUGCUGCUUUCUAAACCUUACUUGUAUUGACAAUCUUGACCUCAAAUCAGGUAGGACUACCCGCUGAACUUAAGCAUAUCAAUAAGCGGAGGA
rnacentral:misc_RNA from 1 species